rnacentral:lncRNA from 1 species
UCUUUAAAAACUCUUUUGAAAGAAGUUUCACAAAUUGUGCAAUCAAUUGCUUAUAGACAAUUGGAGAGUGAGACUAAACUUAAUGUUUUGACUAAAGCAAAGAAUGAGAAGUCUCAAUUUUCAAAAAAAAUUACAUUCUCAUGCAUCUAGCUCUAAACAUCAUGAUUAUCUUGGGGAAGAAAGUCUUAGGAAAAAUGAAUAUCAUCAACAAUUCCCUAGGAGAGCUAGGAAAGAGAGACAAGAAAACCUAACCAAGCAUAACUCUCACACUCAAGCUAGAGAAAUUCCAUGUUUAGAAUACCUUGGCAAUGAUCAAUUAGCAUCUCAAUGUUUCAAUGAAAGAUCUAUGAUCUUAAGGGACA